AGAUUUUGAUCCGGGCUCAGAUUGAACGCUGGCGGCAGGCCUAACACAUGCAAGUCGAACGGUAACAUGAAACAGCUUGCCGUUUCGCUGACGAGUGGCGGACGGGUGAGUAAUGUCUGGGAAACUGCCUGAUGGAGGGGGAUAACUACUGGAAACGGUAGCUAAUACCGCGUAACGUCGCAAGACCAAAGAGGGGGACCUUCGGGCCUCUUGCCAUCAGAUGUGCCCAGAUGGGAUUAGCUAGUAGGUGGGGUAACGGCUCACCUAGGCGACGAUCCCUAGCUGGUCUGAGAGGAUGACCAGCCACACUGGAACUGAGACACGGUCCAAACUCCUACGGGAGGCAGCAGUGGGGAAUAUUGCACAAUGGGCGCAAGCCUGAUGCAGCCAUGCCGCGUGUAUGAAGAAGGCCUUCGGGUUGUAAAGUACUUUCAGCGGGGAGGAAGGGAGUAAAGUUAAUACCUUUGCUCAUUGACGUUACCCGCAGAAGAAGCACCGGCUAACUCCGUGCCAGCAGCCGCGGUAAUACGGAGGGUGCAAGCGUUAAUCGGAAUUACUGGGCGUAAAGUGCACGCAGGCGGUUUGUUAAGUCAGAUGUGAAAUCCCCGGGCUCAACCUGGGAACUGCAUCUGAUACUGGCAAGCUUGAGUCUCGUAGAGGGGGGUAGAAUUCCAGGUGUAGCGGUGAAAUGCGUAGAGAUCUGGAGGAAUACCGGUGGCGAAGGCGGCCCCCUGGACAAAGACUGACGCUCAGGUGCGAAAGCGUGGGGAGCGAACAGGAUUAGAUACCCUGGUAGUCCACGCCGUAAACGAUGUCGAUUUGGAGGUUGUGCCCUUGAGGCGUGGCUUCCGGAGCUAACGCGUUAAAUCGACCGCCUGGGGAGUACGACCGCAAGGUUGAAACUCAAAGGAAUUGACGGGGGCCCGCACAAGCGGUGGAGUAUGUGGUUUAAUUCGACGCAACGCGAAGAACCUUACCAGGUCUUGACAUUUAGGUGAAGCGGCGGAAACGUCGUGGCCGAAAGGAGCCUAAACAGGUGGUGCAUGGCUGUCGUCAGCUCGUGCCGUGAGAUGUUGGGUUAAGUCCCGCAACGAGCGCAACCCCCGCCGCAUGUUGCCAGCAGGUCAGGCUGGGCACCCAUGCGGGACCGCCGGCGUCAAGCCGGAGGAGGGCGGGGACGACGUCAAGUCAUCAUGCCCCUUAUGCCCUGGGCUGCACACGUGCUACAAUGGCCGGUACAGCGGGAUGCGAUGGCGCGAGCCGGAGCGGAUCCCUCAAAGCCGGCCCCAGUUCGGAUUGGGGGCUGCAACCCGCCCCCAUGAAGUCGGAGUUGCUAGUAAUAAAGGAUCAACAUGCCGCGGUGAAUGCGUUCCCG
rnacentral:rRNA from 1 species